ACAGGAUCAUGAUGGUCUCUUCUCGAGUCUGCAGCCAACAGUCCAUUCAGAGCUUGUAUAUUUUCAAAAAGAACUUCUGAAAUUACAGGUCAUUGAGGAUAAUUGCAAAUAUUGGGAAGUAUUAUCAUCAACACUGGCAGUUGGUUGGCUGGACAUUUCAGUUAAGAUGUUGCGUUUGCAUGGAUCUUAUCAAUUGGAUCAGCUUGGAA